UGGCGGACGGGUGAGUAACGCGUGGGUAACCUGCCUUACACAGGGGGAUAACACCUGGAAACAGGUGCUAAUACCGCAUAAGCGCACAGGGCCGCAUGGCCCGGUCGUGAAAAACUCCGGUGGUGUAAGAUGGACCCGCGUCUGAUUAGCUUGUUGGCGGGGUAGAGGCCCACCAAGGCGACGAUCAGUAGCCGGCCUGAGAGGGUGGACGGCCACAUUGGGACUGAGACACGGCCCAAACUCCUACGGAAGGCAGCAG
rnacentral:rRNA from 1 species